GCGGCAGUGUAGUGCAGUGGUAAGGAGCAGGGCUUAUGAUCCAGAGGUUGCUGGUUCGAUUCCCAUCUGGGGCA